UACGUAGGGGGCAAGCGUUGUCCGGAUUUAUUGGGCGUAAAGAGCUCGUAGGCGGUUCGGUAAGUCGGGGGUGAAACCUCCAGGCUCAACCUGGAGACGCCACCCGAUACUGCUGUGACUAGAGUCCGGUAGGGGAGCGUGGAAUUCCUGGUGUAGCGGUGAAAUGCGCAGAUAUCAGGAGGAACACCAGCGGCGAAGGCGGCGCUCUGGGCCGGAACUGACGCUGAGGAGCGAAAGCGUGGGGAGCAAACAGG
rnacentral:rRNA from 1 species